UGCGCACGUCGCGUGCCACUACACCGGGAGGCGACAAGACGCCAGCCCUGGCCGGCACGGAGCCAGCCCAGGCCCACCGUGCUGCGAGGCAGCCGGCACCCACAGCCUCAGGGCCGCGAAGUCACCGCGGACAGAAGGAGCAGGACCCGCGGUCCCAUCGGCCCUGGCAAGUACGGCUAUGGUAAGGCUCCAUAUAUCUUACCACUGCAGACAGACACUGCACACACGCCACAGAGGCUCCGGAGACAGAAGCCCUCAUCCCGGCAUUCCAGGUCCCAGGGGGCAUCUUCUGCUAGGCAUGGCUACAGCUCACCAGCCCACCAGGUCCCCCAACAUGGGCCUUUGUACCAAAGUGACAGUGGCCCUCGCUCUGGACUACAGGCUGCAGAGGCCUCCAUCUACCAGCUGCCUUUGACUCACGAUCAAGGCUUCCCUGCAGCUUCAAGUCUCUUUCACAGCCCGGAAACAAGCAACAACCACGGUGUGGGGACUCAUGGGGCGACGCAGAGCUUCUCCCAGCCUGCCCGAUCUACAGCAAUCUCAUGCAUCGGGGCCUAUCGGCAAUACAAGCUGUGCAACACCAACGUAUGUCCAGAGAGCAGUAGAAGUAUCCGGGAGGUACAGUGUGCAUCCUACAACAACAAGCCAUUCAUGGGCCGGUUUUAUGAAUGGGAACCAUUUGCAGAAGUGAAAGGCAAUCGCAAAUGUGAAUUGAACUGCCAGGCAAUGGGCUACCGCUUCUAUGUACGGCAAGCUGAGAAGGUUAUCGAUGGCACCCCUUGUGACCAGAAUGGCACGGCCAUCUGUGUGUCUGGGCAGUGCAAGGGCACACUCUGGCAAAAUCCUGGCAUCUUUUUCAGAGGAUCAGCAGAUGUAAUGACCCGCGGGUUGCUCCCCUUGCAAGAGGACACAUGCUCUAUGUUAAUACCCCAAAUCAAGCCUACAGUCAAAGGCCUAGGUUUUAUAAUAGAGCACUUAGCCUGGGCAUGCCAAGGGUUUUUGACCAAGUGGAAACACUUUGGAACACGUACCACAGGAAACAGGCCAGCGGAAUGCUUAGUAAUGGCUAGCAUUUCUGAAUAAAGUAUCUGCUCUCCACUGAAAUGGGGUACAGGUGGUGUCCUGGAAGAGGAGAUGAAGCUAAUGGAAGCGAAGAAAGAAUAAAAUAGAAUAACAUUUGUAUUUGGUGCUCCACAGCUUGCAACCUCCAUUAACUUACUUUAUUUACUCUACACAAUGUCCCUGGGAUAUCAUCAUUGCCGUUUUGUCCCAGUUCACCCACCGAGCAAAUGCAAAUGGGUUGGAGUGUUGGUCGUGAGUGGCCCAAUGACCUCUGCAACAACCUCACGGCUUGACUUAAAAUACCAUAAAUCCCUGCUUCCUUGGCAGAUGUUCAUAGUCUCACACCUCCUUUCUGUUCUAUGACAAUUGAAAAAUUACUCUUUUUUCUUACUCUUUGAGUCCAUAGUCGUGAAGUCAAGCCAUUUGCCAAUCUUCAGUAUAAUGCAAUUGGAAAACAUUGUCUAGUCUAGUAUUUCCCAAACUGUAAUUUUUUAAAUUAAUUUCAACUUUUAUUUUAGUUAUUUGCACACUGUCUUCACAAUUUAUGCCAUAUCUGUGUACCACUUGUACCAUUAUUUACAUUAUUUGUUUUCAAACAAAUUAUAAUUUCAUUUUUUUCUUGCUCUAAGAACUCUAGUACUGAAAUCAUUAGUUUGAUGUACUAGUUAUAGUUUUCUAAUAUAUGAUCUCACAUAGCUGUUAAAAUUUUGUGUUCAUUUUUUGUACUAUAUCUCACUUCUCCCUUUGUUAUACAAACUAUACUCUAAGAAAUUAAUUUAAAUUAAAUAAAAUUUCAAAAUUCAGUUUCUUGGUUGAGUUAGCUGCAUUUUUUUUUUAUUUUUUUUUUUUCUUUUUUUUUUAUUUUAUUUUAUUUUUUUUUUAAUUUAUUUAUUAUUAUUAUACUUUAAGUUGUAGGGUACAUGUGCAUAACGUGCAGGUUUGUUACAUAUGUAUACUUGUGCCAUGUUGGUCUGCUGCACCCAUCAACUCGUCAUUUACAUCAGGUAUAACUCCCAUUGCAAUCCCUCCCCCCUCCCCCCUCCCCAUGAUAGGCCCCGGUGUGUGAUGUUCCCCUUCCUGAGUCCAAGUGAUCUCAUUGUUCAGUUCCCACCUAUGAGUGAGAACAUGCGGUGUUUGGUUUUCUGUUCUUGUGAUAGUUUGCUAAGAAUGAUGGUUUCCAGCUGCAUCCAUGUCCCUACAAAGGACGCAAACUCAUCCUUUUUUAUGGCUGCAUAGUAUUCCAUGGUGUAUAUGUGCCACAUUUUCUUAAUCCAAUCUGUCACUGAUGGACAUUUGGGUUGAUUCCAAGUCUUUGCUAUUGUGAAUAGUGCUGCAAUAAACAUACGUGUGCAUGUGUCUUUAUAGCAGCAUAAUUUAUAAUCCUUUGGGUAUAUCCCCAGUAAUGGGAUGGCUGGGUCAUAUGGUACAUCUACUUCUAGAUCCUUGAGGAAUCGCCAUACUGUUUUCCAUAAUGGUUGAACUAGUUUACAAUCCCACCAACAGUGUAAAAGUGUUCCUAUUUCUCCACAUCCUCUCCAGCACCUGUUGUUUCCUGACUUUUUAAUGAUCGCCAUUCUAACUGGUGUGAGAUGGUAUCUCAUUGUGGUUUUGAUUUGCAUUUCUCUGAUGGCCAGUGAUGAUGAGCAUUUUUUCAUAUGUCUGUUGGCUGUAUGAAUGUCUUCUUUUGAGAAAUGUCUGUUCAUAUCCUUUGCCCACUUUUUGAUGGGGUUGUUUGUUUUUUUCUUGUAAAUUUGUUUGAGUUCUUUGUAGGUUCUGGAUAUUAGCCCUUUGUCAGAUGAGUAGAUUGCAAAAAUUUUCUCCCAUUCUGUAGGUUGCCUGUUCACUCUGAUGGUAGUUUCCUUUGCUGUGCAGAAGCUCUUUAGUUUAAUUAGAUCCCAUUUGUCAAUUUUAGCUUUUGCUGCCAUUGCUUUUGGUGUUUUAGACAUGAAGUCUUUGCCCAUGCCUAUGUCCUGAAUGGUACUACCUAGGUUUUCCUCUAGGAUUUUUAUGGUAUUAGGUCUAACAUUUAAGUCUCUAAUCCAUCUUGAAUUAA
rnacentral:lncRNA from 10 species